CACGUAGGGGGCAAGCGUUGUCCGGAUUUAUUGGGCGUAAAGAGCUCGUAGGCGGUUUCGUAAGUCGGGUGUGAAAACUCUAGGCUCAACCUAGAGGCGCCACCCGAUACUGCGAUGACUAGAGUCCGGUAGGGGAGUGUGGAAUUCCUGGUGUAGCGGUGAAAUGCGCAGAUAUCAGGAGGAACACCGAUGGCGAAGGCAGUUCUCUGGGCCGUAACUGACGCUGAGGAGCGAAAGCGUGGGGAGCGAACAGG
rnacentral:rRNA from 1 species